rfam:Erinaceus europaeus unplaced genomic scaffold scaffold00550, whole genome shotgun sequence
CAAAAGGUUUUACUUAAAGCCAUUAAAUUAGUUUAGAAAGUUCUG